rnacentral:misc_RNA from 1 species
CCAAACUUGGUCAUUUAGAGGAAGUAAAAGUCGUAACAAGGUCUCCGUAGGUGAACCUGCGGAGGGAUCAUUACCGAGUGAGGGUGCCCCGCACCCGACCUCCCAACCCUUUGUGAACCGUACCGCGUUGCCUCGGGGUGGCUCUUGAUUGAGCGCCCCAGAGGACUUUACUCAAAACACUGCGUCUUUGCGUCGGAGUUUUAUUUUGAAUCAAUCAAAACUUUCAACAACGGAUCUCUUGGUUCUGGCAUCGAUGAAGAACGCAGC